rnacentral:rRNA from 1 species
CCUACGGGCGGCAGCAGUGGGGGAUAUUGCACAAUGGGGGGAACCCUGAUGCAGCGACGCCGCGUGGGUGAAGGAGCGUUUCGGCGCGUAAAGCCCUAUCGGCAGGGAAGAAGGAGGACGGUACCUGACUAAGAAGCCCCGGCUAACUACGUGCCAGCAGCCGCGGUAAUACGUAGGGGGCAAGCGUUAUCCGGAUUUACUGGGUGUAAAGGGAGCGCAGACGGCAGUGCAAGUCUGGAGUGAAAGCCCGGGGCCCAACCCCGGAACUGCUCUGGAAACUGUGCGGCUAGAGUACUGGAGGGGCAGGCGGAAUUCCUAGUGUAGCGGUGAAAUGCGUAGAUAUUAGGAGGAACACCAGUGGCGAAGGCGGCCUGCUGGACAGUAACUGACGUUGAGGCUCGAAAGCGUGGGGAGCAAACAGGAUUAGAUACCCGAGUAGUC